GCUCAUGUCUCACACUUUCGUCCCCUCUCCCUCUUAAUUCUAUAAUUUUUAUUUUUCACCCCAUAAUAAUAAAGUCAUGCCCUGUUUUAAGUAUUUUAACCCUUGACCACCAAUACCCUGUCCGACUGACGUAGGGCCCCGUAACAUAUGUCAAGACUCUGCCUAAAUUCGUUGGGGUUCUGUCUCGUGACGUAGGAAUAAAGUGGAAUUGGGUUACUAUACUUGAUGUGGGUGCACUAUAUAUUUUAUUAAAUAACCCAGAAGUGAUACCCAAAAUAUAACAACCCUCUCGAAUAUUUUUCUGACACCCUACACUUCCUAAAAUACACCCCGUAUGUGAAAACCGAGCCCGAAAUAUAAUAUAGUAUUAAAAAUAAAUAAAAAACAAGAAAUAAUAAGUUGAGGCGGGACGCGUAGGACCUCACCUCAACUUAACGCGGGCCGUGUGAGGAUGUAACCGGACUCCGCUGAAUUCUUUAGUUCAUGCGGGCCGCGUAUGAUCCCGUUUAAGUUUAUGCGGGCCGCGAGAGUUCCAAAAGGUGGCGUAGCUGUGGGCCGCCACGUGGCCCAACACAUGUCAAAGCUAGAUAGUGACCCGGAUCACCUACGCUGUUGACCAGCGUUGACGCGGGCCGCGUAGACUUUGGUCUACCCUUACGCGGGCCGCGAGAAAACCCAGAAGAAGCACUAUAUAAGCAGGCCAUCGGAUCUUCAUUCAAAUUCGUUCACAAUCGUUUUCUUUCUCUCAAUUCUAAAGUGUAGGCAUUAUACACGGGUAUAAUACCCCCCUAAUUAGCGAAGCUCUGCCUCGUUGUAAGUAUUAUAACCUCUGGAUACGUAUUAGAUACUCUGCCCGAUUGAUCUAGGAUUCCGUAACGGCUGUCGUGGUUUUGCCCGACGUAGUCGUUGGAAUGCCGUCUCGGGGAGGAUUAUAACCAGGAAGCCACAAAGGAAAUAUCUAGAAUAGCAAUGUGAGUAAUCCUCUUUUUGUGUAAACUUUUUUUGUGAGUAAUCUCCUUUUUGUUAACAGUUUUUACAAAACCUUAACCUUUUUACAAUGCAAUUUAGCAGUGAUUGAGUCUUUGUAAUUCUACAAUUACUGCCAGUAUGUUGGGGUUUUGUAUACAAAAAAGUAACGUUACCAUUGGACGAAGAGUUAGCCAAUGCGUAAUAUGACCCACCAGUCAGGAUUGAUAGUACUGAAUGAGUAAUUUGGUAGAUAUAAACAUUGUAAUCGCCCUCAAUACUGUUUAAAUUGAACUAAUGUUUCUUGAUUAAACUGGGAUUCACUCACCAGUAUUUCUUGCUGACAAAAUGUUUUUAAAACGCGUUUCAGGUAACACAAUGUGAAAGCCAAUUAGAAUAAAGCCAGCUCGAGAGCACUGACGGCUUGGAAAAAUGUGGCUAUAAAAGUUACCUAAAAAGACGAUGUUUUAAAUUCAAUAAAAUAAGGGUUAUCCCCAUAAACAUGUUGUAAUAAGAAUCUUGGGUUUUACCCAUAUGAUUAUAAAAAUAAAAUAUGGUGGUUUUACU
rnacentral:lncRNA from 1 species